rnacentral:rRNA from 1 species
UGGCCAUCCGAGUUGUAAUCUAGAGAAGUGUUACCCGCGUCGGACCGUGUACAAGUCUCCUGGAAUGGAGCGUCAUAGAGGGUGAGAAUCCCGUCUUUGACACGGACUACCGAGGCUUUGUGGUGCUCUCAAAGAGUCGAGUUGUUUGGGAAUGCAGCUCAAAAUGGGUGGUAAAUUCCAUCUAAAGCUAAAUAUUGGCGAGAGACCGAUAGCGAACAAGUACCGUGAGGGAAAGAUGAAAAGAACUUUGGAAAGAGAGUUAAACAGUACGUGAAAUUGCUGAAAGGGAAACGCUUGAAGUCAGUCGCGUUGGCCGGAAAUCAGCCUUCCUUUUGGUUGGUGUACUUUCUGGUUGACGGGCCAGCAUCAGUUUUGACCGGUGGAUAAAGUUGUAGGGAAUGUGGCAUCUUCGGGUGUGUUAUAGCCCUGCUUCGUAUACAUCGGUUGGGACUGAGGAACUCAGCACGCCGCAAGGCCGGGGUUCGCCCACGUUCGUGCUUAGGAUGCUGGCAUAAUGGCUUUAAUCGACCCGUCUUGAAACACGGACCAAGGAGUCUAACAUGCCUGCGAGUGUUUGGGUGGAAAACCCGAGCGCGUAAUGAAAGUGAAAGUCAAGAUCCUUUUCAUGGGGAGCAUUGACGCCCGGACCUGAAGUUUACGGACGGUUCUGCGGUAGAGCAUGUAUGUUGGGACCCGAAAGAUGGUGAACUAUGCCUGAAUAGGGUGAAGCCAGAGGAAACUCUGGUGGAGGCUCGUAGC